GAGAGCCACCCAGCCGCCGUCAUCGCCGAACCACCGAUCCGUUCGCAUCAGGUGACGACCGGAUCCGCCGUCGCCGUCGGCGGCAUCCGAACCCGGCGAGUUACGCAUACGCUGCUUCUUCUCCACGCUAUCCGCGCGUUUAUUUUCCUACUUCUGGUUCCUUGCCGCGAGAUUUAGAUUGCAUCUGCCGUAUUUGUUUUGUUCUCGGGAGCAUCCGUGAUGUUACAUCCACUUAACUCAUCCUUGCACUUUGAGUCUCGGCAGUGAAGAAAAACAUUGGGGAAUUUGUAGUCUGAGAUGCUCUCAUGUUCUUGCUUUUGUUUAGAUCUGUCUGCCUUUUUUUCCCCGUGGAUUUGCGUUGCUUCAAGUCGUGGAUCCCUGAUGUUAUUGUUUACUGCGUUAUCUUUCUCGAACUUCUAAGUAAUGAGGAAAGCAUUACCUACUGAGAUCCAAGGCACGCUUGACGUUUUGUUUUCUAUGAUCAACUUUUUUCCUCUCUGGGCAAUACUAGCUGUUUACUUCAUUGUUUCUUUUGAUUUUUUUGUUUCGUUUCUGAUAUUUCUUUGAAUUUUCUGUGCUUCGUCAUCUGGUCAUUGGGAGGAUCAGUCUGAUCGGUUUCCAGUGGACUCGUUCCCUUGAAGCAACAUUAACCUGUUGUAUCCUGAGCUACCUACUUUGUGCCCUAGGAUGUGUCUCUCCAAAGGGCGCCGUGGCUCUUACAUACAUAUCCUAAUUAUAAUUAAUAUGUCACUCUACUCUGCUUAUUUGAUUGAAUCGACUUACUGAUGAUUUGGCGAUUUGAUAUCUUUCUCUACUGUAGUUCUAUUUGGUUUUAUGUGUUUUUCUUCUUUUUAGUUUCUGUUUAAAGAUAGUGUUCACAAUUAUUCGGAUGGAAGUGAGGAUCCUUUCCCCAGCUGAUCGACAAUGAUUGUACUGUGCGCAAAUGUUAUCCUUUAUCAGAGGAUUCCAAGCCAGAAAUCUGAUCCAUCCACUUCAAAAAUAUCUCUUAUGUUUUCUUAACGGCCCUUUAUCUUUAUUAGCAUUUUCAUUGGCAUAUUUCGAAUGGAAAUUUCAGUGUCAAUUCAAAUUUGAUUAAUAUUGUGGUGUGCACAUGAUGAGAAACCAUAUGCAACUCACGACGGUCGUCUGAGACACUCUGUGUGUAAUGGUGCAUUCAUAUGUUAUCUGAUGCCUCUUCUGUUUCUCCAGUUUGUUGGUGAUUUAGGUUCUCCCGUGGCUUCAGUUUCUUUGUUUGAGGAGUUGAUUGCAUUUCUUUUUCAUUCAUACAACUUGUAAUGUGGCACCCGGUAGCAGUUGGAAGCAAGCAAAAGAGAUUUGUAGCUGCGCAGCCGUUAGCCUAGAAGAGAUGUGGCCCAGUCUUAGGUCGGCUUUGUUGUAGUUAUGAGGAUGAUGAUUUCAAAUUUGUCGCCCCAGUCUUAGGGUCCGCUUAGGUGGAUCUGUGCUGAUUGACAUACUACUUAAUCUGACCUGGCAAAUCUAAGUUUGAACAGUUGUUUGAUUUUCUUUACUUAAAUUCCUAGUGAUGGCAGUGACGAUUUGCAAAUAUUCAAGCUCAACAGACCAAAUCACAGGUUUUCUCUCAAGAGUUGAUUUGUAUGCCGAUUAUCCCGCUGAACUGAGCCAUCUGAUAUCCUUUAUUUUUAAUGUGCGGUUCAUUGUUCGUUUCCUUUUGGAGAGUGGUUGUGAUGAGGAGAACAAGCUCCCUCUUCUGAAAGCAUUGACGACAUUGCUGGCACAAUCGAACCAAUUAAAAAUUGCCUCCGCUGAGCAACUACAUCUCCAAUCUUUUUGGUUGUUAUUUUUGCUUUUCAAUUUAGAUGAUCUAUUUGUAUUGUGAGGAUUUAUUGAUGCAUAAUAACACUUGAUCUUGAGGGGUUGACAUGAGUUGGCUGUUAUGUCAUCUUCGCAACUGAAUCCAUUAGAGAUCAGUUUUUUAUUAUUUAUUUUCUUCUUGAUUUUGUCAGUGUCAUGAGAUGAAAACUUAUUCUAUCUUAGGACACCUUCUGACACAGUGCUGAUUUCCUGUGGAUGAGAAGGCUUUUAUAUUCUGAUGAUACGCUAUAUUUCUUGGGCACUAUCUUACUUUUGUGUUUUUGGCUAGUGUGCAGCCUUUUCUUUCACACUAGUGACCUGUAAUUUAAUUCAAGCCUAUGAUGAUUAGCUUUAUGUUGGAAUUACCGUCUGAUUCUGAAUGACGAUAUUUUUGCGGCUUUCUGAGGCAUAAAGCGGAGAGCUCAAUACUUUUUUUUAUUUAAUUGUAUUGUUAUUUUUUUUCAGCUUAAAUUAUCCCAAUGAAGAUUCUUAGGCCAGGAAGUGCCGUAUGACACAGUAAACAACAGCUGUUACUCACCACUGCAUGUGUCCUCCUUUGGCUAUAACCUUUGUGGUUUGGUCAGGGCUGGAAUAUCCAUUUGCACCUGGUUUGGUUCAUCUGUGUGCAUGAUUUUAAAUGGGUCUCUGAGGGAUUCUGUUGUAAUUGUUUAAUCUGUUCUGUGUGAUAGGAAACCUGAGUCUAUUUUGGUUGGUAUACACUCUCCAGAGCUGGUUAUUGUGGUUGAUAUACUUUUGUAGUGGCUGGUUGGUAUACACUCUCCAGAUCUGGUUAUUGUGGUUGAUAUAUUUUUGUAGUGUCUGACAAGUUCUAGUCAAUAUGAUUUGGUCAGUUUUGGGGAUAAGUUACGGUGAUGAUGAUAAAUUUAAGGUUGUUUCUCAAAACAUUCGCAGAUGCCGCCUAAGAGCUUUCGCCAAGCCAGGCUUGAGAGCUAAUGCUGCUAAUUCCUUCCUUGGAUGUCUGAGCCUUAUUAAUAUCCUUGCUUUGUUGUCUUCCGUUUGAUUGUCUUAUCUUGUUUUAUGUGGGCAGCGCUGUUUCAACGCUUGGCUGCUGUUCUUGCAUCCAAGUUUACAACGCUCCUGAGAUGUAUUCAGGUGGUGCUUAGAGCACAAAUCCGUCCAGAUGGAUCUUGGGUUACGCUCGCCCCCAAAUUCAAGUUUAAUCUCUGUUUUUGUUGCAUUAUGUUGUCUGUAAUUAUAGUGGAAUCUGAGAAUAUUUCUUCUGGUUUCAAUGUGUAUUAUUAUGUUGUUUCCUCUGUUUUCACUGAGAUUUUGUUUUUUGAUUCUUGAAAGAAUCUUAUGGAACAUAAAAUAUCGAUCUAAUCUUUAAUUUACUUUAGAUGUGAUUGUCCAGCACUGAUAUCUCCCAUAGAAUCAAAGUAUUGGCCUGUCAGAGUGUUGUUUUUUAUGUUUGAUGGAAACUUGCAUUUCCAUUUGCUAGUUAAACUCAGCUUAGACGCCAACCGCAUUUCAACAGCAUUUCAGGUAGAAAACUCUGGAGCACUGUUCUGUUCAGUUUUUGUGGACUGUAUCAGACAAUGUAUCGGACAACAGUACAACCUGUCUACUCCUUUUCUGUGAGUGGCGUUGCUCUGUUUUGAAGCAUUGGUUUCUAUAAAUCAGUCCAUAAAAUGUACUUCAUGUUGUUGAAAUAGAGAUGAUGUAAUGAUAUUUUUGCAGUUGCUGGUUUGGUUAUCUACGCUGAUAAAUUUCACUACUUGAAGUUCUUAUUUCACAAUCAUAACAGCUUGCAAUUUGUUUGUCUGCAAUAAGUUAUGUUCUGCCAUGAAAUAACAAGUAGUCAGGACCGGAAAUAGAACUAAAAUGGAUCAUUUAUGCUUGUCUUGUGAGCACAAUACUCUGAUCUGGGUUGUACUGAGAGCAUAUCAUUGAUGCUGUCCAUUUGUGAGCAUAUCUGUCAAUUGGAAAUCAGUGUAAUUUAGUGCAGGUGGCAAAGGAGAUCAAUUGAACUAUCAAACUGAACUGGCUAAACGUAUGAGAGAUCAAUGAAGGAAUUGUAGUGCAGGAGGAGAUUAAAUAAAUUAACUGAAGCAAACUGGUACAUAAAACUAAAUUAAAAGUCAAAGGAGAUCAACUAAACUUACUGGAUUGAACUAUGGCCCAAAAUAAACACUUGACAUAAUGGAAAUGUUCUAGAUGCUUGCUUCUUUAGGAUCACUCAAGUACAUCACCAAAACCCCGUAAGAACAUCAUCUAUGAUUGGUUCAUGUGAAUUAAGUAAAAAAGUAAGAUUUUUCACAUUACCAUAUCCUUGGUUUCUAAAGAAACUAUGAGAAAUAUUACCAGUUGAUUUCUAAAGUAUUACACGACUUCCCAUUGUCCCUAGAAACACAGUUAAACUGUCGCACAAAGGGCGCCCUUUUACCGUGCGAGGUGAAAAAAAAACUGAAGGAGAGAAAAAAAAGAGAGAAAUGAAUCGUCCUCCUUUCCCAUUCACCAUUCACAACCGCCUUGAUUCCUCCCCCUCCCUCAUGGCCACGGUGGCGCGAGCGCUCUGAUGCUGGUUCAAGCUGCUUGAGGCGGCUCUUACCCUUGUGCCGACGCAAUGGACAAGGUGCCCUCUCCAUCACUUCUGCGUGUGUGUUUAAUUUGGAGUUGGUCUUCUGUUCACAAAGAUCCCUCUAUUCGAUGUUGCAGGAGAACAUAUACCUUUGUUAGUGGAGCAGCCCCCCUAGCCCUUCUUCAGCCAUGGAGGAGCGAAUCCCCUUUCUUAUCCCCUUAUGUGAUGUGUGCCUCUGCUUGUAGAGGCGUGGAGAAUUUUUCAGUGUAUGUUGGCCAUUGAGGCAUGGCAAUUUCUAAAGUGUUAUCCUACUGGCAUGCCACAUCUUUUAGUACUCGGAGAGUUUUAUCUACCGUGAGGAUUUUUGCAUUAUUUAUAUAAUCUACACUUCCUAUAGUUAAUUCCUGACAAUCAGGUUGCUGUUAAACUUUUCUUCAUAUAAGAGAAAAGGUUGUUUCUACAUUUGCAUCCAAUCCAACAUUGAAUUAAAAAAAAUGUGCAUCUUAUUUGGUUAUUGGCCUUUCUAAAUUAAAAAAUGUGCAUAUUUAUGUAUUUAAGAAAAGGAUAUGCGCAUGGUACCGAACAUGAGAAAAACACUGUUGACCAUAUCUCGAAUCAAGUUAUUUGGUGUAUUUCAGGCCAAGCAUGUUUUUUUUGAGAAAACGCUGCAUUUCAUUAUAUUGAAAAGAGAGAUAGCUAAUUAGAGAACAAAACACUAUGGCGGCAAAUGAGAUUAUCGAGCUGUUCUACGAACUGAUUGUUACAUGGCUUCCGAUCAUUGCCAAGCAGAAGUAUGUAUCUUGCAACAUUUCCUUGCCUUCAGAAUUGACUGUACAGAAAACUAGGACCUAAACUUGUGCUACUGGCCAACCAUUUCUUCAGGGAAUGCCGAGCGGACCUGAAAGAAGGUAUCUGCAGUUUGAUAUUUGCAGCCCCAAGGUGCUCUGAAUUCCCUGAACUCAGUCGGAUGCGGGACCUUCUUGAAAAGAAGUAUGGGAAAGAUUUUGUUGCUGCUGCAGUUGAUCUGCGCACAAAUGCUGGUGUCAAUACUUUGUAAGGCUAAUUGAGGAAGUUGUCAGUCAUCUCUGGACUACACUAUCAAGUUCCAAAGCGAAGAUUUGUGCAAACAGUACAAGUGUGUCUAAGAUUAUGAGCAGUAUCAAUACUUCAACUUGACAUGAUUUAAGAUGCUAAUCCUAUUCUAGAUAAAUUUUCCAGUGGAAGCUCACAAGAAUCUAUUCUUUGUCAAUGGAAGGGAAUCAAGAAUUGUCCCCACCUACAAAUUUAUCAAACAUGAUAAGCAGUUAAGAACCCAAAGCAAGAACUACAUCAUACUCUGUGCAUCCAUUCAGAGCAGUCAGAAGCUUUGUCAAUGUAUAUCUUUGUAAUCUCAAAGAUCGGAUGAACACUGCUGCGUUGAAUCUCUGCAAGAGCAGCAACAACAUUUGCAACCACCAUAGCAUUAUUUUCAAAAAUUAAGUCUUUGAGGGCCUCUAGAAAUCCUCUGCCUCCAGUAGCUCAGCAUUUAUAUCAUGUACUAAACUCUCCAGUUUAGUUUUCGCGGAUAUAAGAUAAUAUGGUAUGUAAUCAAGAGAUUCAUUUUAAAUUUGGAUUGUUCACAUGUUUACUGAAAGCAUAUAUGCUCUAUUAUGUGGAGUCGAUUUUUCUCUUUUUAGCACCAUCUAUCUUGGAAUUAGAUUUGAUACUAUAAGAAUAUAAUGAUGACUAUUUCUUGAUGGGUACUUGCUGCAUGAUUUUUCCAGUGCAUGUCCAAGUCUACAUGUGAAAGGAUCUUGCUUGAUUCCGUUCUACUGGAGAUUAUGGAGUGUAAUUCUUCAGAUGCAGAAAUGUCAUAUUUUGCUGAGGGUUCCGAGAGUACAAUACAAGCCAAAAUCAAGACUUUGGAUUCUCAAACAUACAAUUUGCAUGUGAAUAAAUAUGUGCAGGAGGUACAAUGUAAGCAAGCAGGGCGGUCGCGAUCAUGCUGCCCGUCGGCCUUACCACUGGAGAUUCAGGCGAGAACCGGCGCCCCCACCAUGCCUGUUGCCUGUUGGUGACGCUCACGCAGGAAUCCAGAGGCAGCACCUUGGCCUUCUCCCUGUGAACACCACCUCUCCGACGAUGCAGCCGCCAUCCGAGGGUGGCGGGACCGAUGCCACCGUCCAUGCCAUGUUCUGGCUGAUCCCCCAAGGCUCCUCACCUACGUCCAAAGGGCAGCACACAACCAAUGGUACUGCUGCCAUGACGACACCCACCUCUGUGUUGAUUGAGCUUUUCGACCUGCCCGGAAUGGACAAGGUCAUUCGGGCAUCUGAUUUUGAUGUGCCAUUUGCUCUGUUUGAUAAGAAGUCAAGUGUAGCAACAUGAACAAUUGUGUUACAGAAACUGUGCUACCAAUUGUUUGUAAUAGAU